rnacentral:rRNA from 1 species
UACGUAGGGGGCAAGCGUUGUCCGGAUUUAUUGGGCGUAAAGAGCGUGUAGGCGGCCUGAAAGGUCAGCUGUGAAAACUCGAGGCUCAACCUCGAGACGUCGGUUGAAACCAUCUGGCUAGAGUCCGGAAGAGGAGUGUGGAAUUCCCGGUGUAGCGGUGAAAUGCGCAGAUAUCGGGAGGAACACCGGUGGCGAAGGCGGGUCUCUGGGCCGAUAUUGACGCUGAGGAGCGAAAGCUAGGGGAGCAAACGGG